CGGGACACGUGGUAUCCUGUCUGAAUAUGGGGGGACCAUCCUCCAAGGCUAAAUACUCCUGACUGACCGAUAGUGAACCAGUACCGUGAGGGAAAGGCGAAAAGAACCCCGGCGAGGGGAGUGAAAAAGAACCUGAAACCGUGUACGUACAAGCAGUGGGAGCACAGAGCAAUCUGUGUGACUGCGUACCUUUUGUAUAAUGGGUCAGCGACUUAUAUUCUGUAGCAAGGUUAACCGAAUAGGGGAGCCGAAGGGAAACCGAGUCUUAACUGGGCGUUAAGUUGCAGGGUAUAGACCCGAAACCCGGUGAUCUAGCCAUGGGCAGGUUGAAGGUUGGGUAACACUAACUGGAGGACCGAACCGACUAAUGUUGAAAAAUUAGCGGAUGACUUGUGGCUGGGGGUGAAAGGCCAAUCAAACCGGGAGAUAGCUGGUUCUCCCCGAAAGCUAUUUAGGUAGCGCCUCGUGAAUUCAUCUCCGGGGGUAGAGCACUGUUUCGGCAAGGGGGUCAUCCCGACUUACCAACCCGAUGCAAACUGCGAAUACCGGAGAAUGUUAUCACGGGAGACACACGGCGGGUGCUAACGUCCGUCGUGAAGAGGGAAACAACCCAGACCGCCAGCUAAGGUCCCAAAGUCAUGGUUAAGUGGGAAACGAUGUGGGAAGGCCCAGACAGCCAGGAUGUUGGCUUAGAAGCAGCCAUCAUUUAAAGAAAGCGUAAUAGCUCACUGGUCGAGUCGGCCUGCGCGGAAGAUGUAACGGGGCUAAACCAUGCACCGAAGCUGCGGCAGCGACACUGUGUGUUGUUGGGUAGGGGAGCGUUCUGUAAGCCUGUGAAGGUGUGCUGUGAGGCAUGCUGGAGGUAUCAGAAGUGCGAAUGCUGACAUAAGUAACGAUAAAGCGGGUGAAAAGCCCGCUCGCCGGAAGACCAAGGGUUCCUGUCCAACGUUAAUCGGGGCAGGGUGAGUCGACCCCUAAGGCGAGGCCGAAAGGCGUAGUCGAUGGGAAACAGGUUAAUAUUCCUGUACUUGGUGUUACUGCGAAGGGGGGACGGAGAAGGCUAUGUUGGCCGGGCGACGGUUGUCCCGGUUUAAGCGUGUAGGCUGGUUUUCCAGGCAAAUCCGGAAAAUCAAGGCUGAGGCGUGAUGACGAGGCACUACGGUGCUGAAGCAACAAAUGCCCUGCUUCCAGGAAAAGCCUCUAAGCAUCAGGUAACAUCAAAUCGUACCCCAAACCGACACAGGUGGUCAGGUAGAGAAUACCAAGGCGCUUGAGAGAACUCGGGUGAAGGAACUAGGCAAAAUGGUGCCGUAACUUCGGGAGAAGGCACGCUGAUAUGUAGGUGAAGUCCCUCGCGGAUGGAGCUGAAAUCAGUCGAAGAUACCAGCUGGCUGCAACUGUUUAUUAAAAACACAGCACUGUGCAAACACGAAAGUGGACGUAUACGGUGUGACGCCUGCCCGGUGCCGGAAGGUUAAUUGAUGGGGUCAGCGCAAGCGAAGCUCUUGAUCGAAGCCCCGGUAAACGGCGGCCGUAACUAUAACGGUCCUAAGGUAGCGAAAUUCCUUGUCGGGUAAGUUCCGACCUGCACGAAUGGCGUAAUGAUGGCCAGGCUGUCUCCACCCGAGACUCAGUGAAAUUGAACUCGCUGUGAAGAUGCAGUGUACCCGCGGCAAGACGGAAAGACCCCGUGAACCUUUACUAUAGCUUGACACUGAACAUUGAGCCUUGAUGUGUAGGAUAGGUGGGAGGCUUUGAAGUG
rnacentral:rRNA from 1 species